AGGAUCUAUGAGCAGCUUCCAGAGGUGAGGAAGAAGAGGGAGGAAGAGAAGAGGAGGCUGGAAUACAACUCGUACCGUCUGAAAGCACAGCUCUACAAAACAAAAAUCACCAACCGUGUCUUAGGGAAGAAGGUGCCUUGGAACUGAUGGAAUGAUCCCUUCAAACCAGCCUGGGGUGUUCCAGCACAUGAUGGGGAAGAGACAAAAAUGCAGGGAAAUGCUUCCACAGCUCCAAUUUUUGUGGUAUUGGGUCGCUUUUGUACUGAUCUAAUCUUGCCCUAUUUAAGAAUCAGUGAUUUGGGAUGAAUGUCAGGGUUUUAAACAAAUGCCUGGGGGGGUUUUGUAGUGGUUUUAAGCACUUCCAAAGUCAACACAGUCUGGAAAAACUCAGUUCAUAAUAUAUUUCUAGCUCCCUGAUUGGAAUAGAAGCUUUAUAUAUUUAUUUUCAAUGGGUUUGAACAAUGAUUUUUUUUUUAUUAUUAUUAUUAUUAUUUUUUUAAUUCCUGUCUUGUAGAAAAUUUACUUGUUUUGUACCGCAAAAAAAACCCUCAAUAAAACACCUGAGUUGUAGUAA